rnacentral:rRNA from 1 species
ACACAUGCAAGUCGAACGAUGAAGCCCAGCUUGCUGGGUGGAUUAGUGGCGAACGGGUGAGUAACACGUGAGUAACCUGCCCUUGACUCUGGGAUAAGCGCUGGAAACGGCGUCUAAUACCGGAUACGACCUGCCCCGGCAUCGGGUGUGGGUGGAAAGUUUUUCGGUCAAGGAUGGACUCGCGGCCUAUCAGCUUGUUGGUGAGGUAAUGGCUCACCAAGGCGACGACGGGUAGCCGGCCUGAGAGGGUGACCGGCCACACUGGGACUGAGACACGGCCCAGACUCCUACGGGAGGCAGCAGUGGGGAAUAUUGCACAAUGGGCGAAAGCCUGAUGCAGCAACGCCGCGUGGGGGAUGACGGCCUUCGGGUUGUAAACCUCUUUUAGUAGGGAAGAAGGACUUCGGUUUGACGGUACCUGCAGAAAAAGCACCGGCUAACUACGUGCCAGCAGCCGCGGUAAUACGUAGGGUGCAAGCGUUGUCCGGAAUUAUUGGGCGUAAAGAGCUCGUAGGCGGUUUGUCGCGUCUGCUGUGAAAACCCGAGGCUCAACCUCGGGCCUGCAGUGGGUACGGGCAGACUAGAGUGCGGUAGGGGAGAAUGGAAUUCCUGGUGUAGCGGUGGAAUGCGCAGAUAUCAGGAGGAACACCGAUGGCGAAGGCAGUUCUCUGGGCCGUAACUGACGCUGAGGAGC